rnacentral:rRNA from 1 species
GAUGAACGCUAGCGACAGGCCUAACACAUGCAAGUCAGGGGCAGCACAUGAGUAGCAAUACGAUGGUGGCGACCGGCGCACGGGUGAGUAACACGUAUGCAACCUGCCUGUAAGAGGGGAAUAACCCGGAGAAAUUACGGACUAAUACCGCAUAAUACCACGAGACUGCAUGGUUUUGUGGUUAAACAUUUAUGGCUUACAGAUGGGCAUGCGUAUGAUUAGAUAGGUUGGUAGGGUAACGGCCUACCAAGUCUACGAUCGAUUAGGGGUUCUGAGAGGAAGGUCCCCCACACUGGUACUGAGACACGGACCAGACUCCUACGGGAGGCAGCAGUGAGGAAUAUUGGUCAAUGGGCGAGAGCCUGAACCAGCCAAGUCGCGUGAAGGAAGAAGGUUCUAUGGAUUGUAAACUUCUUUUGCGAGGGGAAUAAAGGACGGUACGUGUACUGUUUUGUAUGUACCUUGCGAAUAAGGAUCGGCUAACUCCGUG